GUAUGACUGAAUAAUUUGCAUUGUUUUUGUCUCGAUGUUUUGUCUUUAAUGGAUUGCAGCACAUUCCACUCAGAGUGGGUGGCACCUUGUCAGUCGGUCCCGCCUUCGACCGUUUGGGCGCUGCGUUUUUCAAAUCUGAGCAAUAACUUCAUUUUAAAACCACAGUAGAUCUAAAGGUUUGACCUCGCCAGUUCUUUCACCAAGCAGAGGGACACA